rnacentral:lncRNA from 1 species
CCAAAGCCCAGCUGCCUGGAUGCCUUCUGACGGUGUGAAUGGCACAGUCCUACGCUCCACAUCUGUGAAACGGGGUGCGGAUGACACCUGCCACAUGGCGGGUCGGAAGGAUUAACUGAAUGCAUACAGGCUGUUCAGCUGUAGCACCAAGAACUUCUCGACCCGGCCGGCCCUGCAGCCACAGUCCCAGGGGGCAAAGUAACAAGAUCGAGGAGGUGGGCCACACCUCCAGCCCUAGCAAGCCCCUCGAAGAUGAAG